GGAGUUUUGAUCUCCUCCAUACCCGCUUCACACCCUGGAGGACGGGGCUGUGGCCCCCCCACACUCCCUAGCAGAUCAUUACAUGGAGAAACCUUUGGAAUGCAAGCAUGCUGAUCCACACAGGUAUGCACACAUGGGUAUUCACAGACGCGGACUAAAGCUUUCUUGGCUGCUGCCUCAAAGCACACUGUGCGCUGUCUAUCUUGCGUGCUGCACAAUAUCGUUUAUUAUUUAGUAAAUAUUGAUAUCUAUGACUAGCUAGUUUAUUGUGAUGGUGCUUUGUUUUCUCUAUUAUUAUGUUACUCUUUGUUGUUUGCUGUCUCCUCUGUUUGUUUUUUUUGUUUGUUUGUUUUUUUUUCUCCAUACAGGUGACCCAGGAGUUCUUUUUUUUUUUUCCCUCUCUUCCCCCCCCUUCUCACCGUCUCUUCUCCCCUUUGGUUUCCUUUCUUUCUCUCCCCCUCUUUCUCUCAUUCAUUCCCCCUGUCCUAUUUAUUAAAAAAAAAAAAAAAAAUGACAAAGGAUGAACUGAAGCUCUGCCAUCACGUAAUGUCGCAUACUGCUGUUUCUGAUGUCAUUUAAAAAAAAAAAAAAAAAAAAAAAAAAAAGGAAUUUCAGGAGCGGGACCACGCCUCCAAACACGCUCCUUCCAGUUGUCAUCUGUAUAGGUUCCCCCAGUUCUGCAAGCUGUUCAUUCUAGUUUACGUGCCCCACCCUCCCUUCCUCCCUCCUUGUUCUCAGUUCUUUAACUUCUUCAUUUCUGUUUAGUGCACGGGGAUCUGCCAGGCCCGGGAGCCAUUGCCAGUCCCCUUCGAUGCCUUCCCCAAACAGCAGCUCAAUUCAUGUCAAAGCAUUUACUUUUACCUACUAAAACGCUGUCAAACCUAAAAUGAGGACGUGGGCCCAGCUAGUGAAUUAGCACACUAAACUUUGACUUGGAACUCCACGUGAAUCCAAUUUGUGUCCAUACCUUGACAGAAUGAUCCGAUGGACCCAGCCGGCUCGGGUCAAGUGAGUUGCGCCCUUGCAAACCAACAAGAACAGCUGGGCUGGCACGAAGAAAUGCUGCAGCACAUCUCAGGAGAAAUGAACACAAUCACCCUUCACUUGGGUGAAGUGAAAGGUAUGAUGCAAACACAUGUAACUGAAUUUCUGGUUAACCUACCUGUUCGUCACAGCCCCGCACCACCUGUUGUUCUGCAGCCAUCGCCGCCACCCAAUUUUCUGAAAAGGCCUUUACCUACGCCUGAGUUAGUUAGAGAAAGAUGGUGAGUUAGAGAAACAUGGGGGUUUUCCAUACCAAAAGUUGUGCCCACCAAUAACAAUGGGGUUAUUGGCGGGCAAAGUCUCUAGUGUUUCAUGUUUGCUGGAAACAUGCCAAGACUCAUGCUUCUAGCUAAAAUCUCAGUCAGCGGUCAAACGUACUUCCUCAAAGCUUUAAUUGAUUCCGGAGUCAAAUAGUAUUGAUCACUCUCUUGCUGCUCAUUCAUAUUUAUCUCCCGUUCCGCUUCCUGAACCUUUCUCCCUGUCUGCUGGACACAACACAUAGAACUCAGGCCAUAACUCAGACU
ensembl:lncRNA